rnacentral:rRNA from 1 species
GAUGAACGCUGGCGGCGUGCUUAACACAUGCAAGUCGAACGAAGCACCUUAUUCUGAUUUCUUCGGAAUGAAAAAUUUGGUGACUGAGUGGCGGACGGGUGAGUAACGCGUGGGUAACCUGCCUCAUACAGGGGGAUAACAGUUAGAAACGAUAGCUAAGACCGCAUAGGUACGGACACUGCAUGGUGACCGUAUUAAAAGUGCCUCAAAGCACUGGUAGAGGAUGGACUUAUGGCGCAUUAGCUGGUUGGCGGGGUAACGGCCCACCAAGGCGACGAUGCGUAGCCGACCUGAGAGGGUGACCGGCCACACUGGGACUGAGACACGGCCCAG